rnacentral:pre_miRNA from 1 species
AAUAAACCAAUUUUUCACUUUUUACUUUCAAUUUUUAACUCUUCAUCUUAUUUAAAACUUUUUUUAUGAUUAAUAUUUUUGUUUUUAUUAGAUGAUAAAUUAUAAAUAGUACUUUACGUGUGACUAAUUUUUUUCUAAUUUUCUAAAAAAUUUUCAAAUAAGACGGAUGGUCAAACGUUGGACAUGGAAACCGACGAAUUCGUUUUUU